CACCGCGGUUAUACGAUGGGCUCAAGUUGACAGGAAUCGGCGUAAAGGGUGGUUUAGGAAAAAUAUAGUUAAAGCCGAAGCUCUCUCCGGCCGUUAUACGUGUGCAGGGGGAAUAAGCUCAGUCACGAAGGUGGCUUUAUCUGGCCUGACUCCACGAGAGCCGGGGAA
rnacentral:rRNA from 1 species